AGUCUGCAGUACAGAGUUCUCAGGUACUUCGUUGAUUUCCUUCCUGAAAUUCCUUUCAUGUGAAGUUUUUAGAUUUAUAGCUUUCUUGGUUACUUUAUUUUCUGUUUAGAAUUUCAAUAGCUAUUUAUAUCUUGAAGAAUACACUAAUUUAGUGAUAUCAUGGAUGAAAGCAUAUGAUCUGAUAUAUAUUGGCCUGAUUAUAUUGACAUUUUCCUUGAAUGUAUAGAUUAGACUAGGGAAUCUUUAAAAGUUUGGGAAAUGUGUUGUAAUUUUUCGAUACUUGUGUUUGGAAAUUGGCACGGUUGUGCUAGAGCACCUUUUCAGUUUGAGUCUAGAAGGAAACCUUAAAAUCUGAAAAUU
rnacentral:misc_RNA from 1 species